UUUUGUGGGGUGACGGCGUGCCUAUCGAAAAAUGAGUCUGCGAGUCAGUGGCAUGUGGCGAGCAUAACCCGUGUGGGGUAUGCGUAGCGAAGGCGAGUCUUAAAAGGCGUUUGAGUCGCGUGUCCUGGACCCGAAGCGGGAUGAUCUAGCCCUGAGCAGGUUGAAGCGCGGGUAAGACCGCGUGGAGGACCGAACCCACCUGGGUUGAAAACCGGGGGGAUGACUUGGGGCUAGGGGUGAAAGGCCAAUCAAAUUCCGUGAUAGCUGGUUCUCUCCGAAAUGCAUUUGGGUGCAGCGUCGGGUCAUUACGUCCCGGGGGUAGAGCUACUGGAUGCUUGCGGGCCCGUAUCGGGUACCAACAGCAACCAAACUCCGAAUACCGGUGACGCGUAUCCCGGCAGUGAGUCGGCGGGGGAUAAGCUUCGUCGUCGAAAGGGAAACAGCCCAGACCGUCGUCUAAGGUCCCGAAGCGUGUGCUAAGUGGGAAAGGAUGUGGAGUCGCAUAGACAGCCAGGAGGUUGGCUCAGAAGCAGCCACCCUUGAAAGAGUGCGUAACAGCUCACUGGUCUAGUGGUUCCGCGCCGACAAUGUAGCGGGGCUCAAGCACACCACCGAAGACGCGGCAGUAUUUUGUACUGGGUAGGAGAGCGUCCCAUGAGGGGCGAAGCGGCCGUGUGAACGCGCCGUGGACUUCAUGGGAGUGAGAAUGCAGACAUGAGUAGCGAGAGACGGGUGAAGAUCCCGUCCGCUGGAUGACCAAGGGUUCCAGGGCCACGUUCAUCGUCCCUGGGUGAGUCGGGUCCUAAGGCGAGGCCGACAGGCGUAGUCGAAUGGAUGAACGGGUCGAUAUUCCCGUACCGGCUUUCAGCCGCCAAAACCGAGGCUUGGAGUACUAACCUCCGGGUCCGGGCUUACUGCUCCUUCGGGGGCGGGAUGCCCUGGCCUGUUGGGACCGAUCCUUGUAGUAGGUCAGCGCAGGAGUGACGCAGAAGGGUAGCCGGCCGCGGAGGUGGUCUUCCGUGGUCAAGCACGCAGGGCGUGGGACAGGCAAAUCCGUCCCGCAUGGGUCCGAGGUGCGAUGAUGGGGGCCUUAUGGCCCGAUAUCCGGUGAUCCCGGCUGCCGAGAAAAGCUUCGGCGUCAGGCUCGAAGCCGCCCGUACCCCAAACCGACACUGGUGGUCAGGUAGAGAAUACCAAAGCGAUCGAGCGAAUCCUGGUCAAGGAACUCGGCAAAUCACUCCCGUUCCUUCGGUUUAAGGGAGACCCCCGAUGGUGAACCGCCUCGCGCGGGGAGCUUUUGGGGGUGGCACAGACCAGGGGGUAGCGACUGUUUACCAAAAACACAGGUGCAUGCGAAGGCGCAAGCCGCUGUAUAUGCACUGACGCCUGCCCGGUGCCGGAAGGUUAAGAGGAUCCGUCAGCCUUCGGGUGAAGCGGUGAAUUCAAGCCCCGGUAAACGGCGGUGGUAACUAUAACCAUCCUAAGGUAGCGAAAUUCCUUGUCGGGUAAGUUCCGACCUGCACGAAUGGCGUAACGACUUCCCCACUGUCUCGACCAGGAGCUCGGCGAAAUUGCAGUACGAGUAAAGAUGCUCGUUAAGCGCAGAAGGACGAAAAGACCCCGGGACCUUUACUAUACCUUGGUAUUGGCAUUCGGUGUGGAUUGUGUAGCAUAGGCGGGAGGCCGAGAGGCGCGGUCGCCAGAUCGCGCGGAGCCGUAAGGUGAAAUACCGCUCUGUUCGCAUUGGAUGUCUAACCUCGAACAGUCAUCCUGUUCAGGGACAGUGCCUGGCGGGUAGUUUAACUGGGGCGGUUGCCUCCCAAAGAGUAACGGAGGCGCCCAAAGGUCCGCUCAGCCCGGUUGGCAAUCGGGUGGCGAGUGCAAGUGCACAAGCGGGCUUGACUGCGAGGACGACGGUCCGAGCAGGGACGAAAGUCGGGACUAGUGAUCCGGUGCCGGUGUACGGACGCGGCAUCGCUCAACGGAUAAAAGGUACCCCGGGGAUAACAGGCUGAUCAUUCCCAAGAGUCCAUAUCGACGGGAUGGUUUGGCACCUCGAUGUCGGCUCGUCGCAUCCUGGGGCUGGAGCAGGUCCCAAGGGUUCGGCUGUUCGCCGAUUAAAGCGGCACGCGAGCUGGGUUCAGAACGUCGUGAGACAGUUUGGUCUCUAUCCUCUGCGCUCGUUGGAAUGCUGAGGAGGCCUGCCCAUAGUACGAGAGGACCUGGGUGGACGAACCUCUGGUAUGCCGGUUGUCACGCCAGUGGCACGGCCGGUUGGCUACGUUCGGAAGGGAUAACCGCUGAAAGCAUCUAAGCGGGAAGCCUGCUCCAAGAUAAGCAUUCCGUGGAACCUUCGAGUUCCUGUAGUCCCCAUGCAGAACACGUGGU
rnacentral:rRNA from 1 species